AUGGACGAAGCGAUACGGAAUAAAGUCGUGCUGGGCUGCAGAGCCUUCAGCGGCCCCGCCGCGGGUCCCCCGUGCUCUGUGCCCCGUCCCCGGGGUCCCGCGCCCUGGGAAGGCAGCGGCAGCAGGAUGGGAGGGUGGGAAUGUCCUGGUGGGACACGGGGUACUGGGAAUGGGUUGUGGGUUCGGGGGUGUGGCGGCUCAGGAGGUCCCUGUGUCACCGGCUGCGGUGGCCUGUGCCGGUGGGGCUGUGGGGAGACCCCCCCUCCUGUCACCGACCCGGGUCCUUCCUGUCCCCUGUCCUUGCCCCAUCCCCAGGUCCCUCCUAGCCCUGAUUUGGGGGUAGGAGUUAUUUCACACAAUUCUUUCCCCACAGAAUCCAAGGCCUUUCCUCAGGCACGCCAGGGUCCCCAAGCUGGGUGUCACCAUCCUCCUGGGAGGCCACCACCAGAGCUGGGUGACCCUGCAAAUGCCACAGCUCCUGCUGCCCCACUGUCCCCUCCCUGGGGGCUGCACCCUCCUGUCCCACCCCACCAGGACAUGGCAGUCAAGGGGUCCUGGAUGCUGGGGGCUGGAAGAGGGGACAGCACAGGGGACACAGCACAGAGGGCUCAGCAGUGCUGUCACCCUGAUGUGGGCUGGAGAUGGAGGGGGGGACAGUCCUGGGGUGCCCUGGGGACACUGCACAUGCUGUGGGGACACUACACCUGCCAUGGGGACCUCAAACAUUUCCUGGGGACCCUGCACACUGCUGGGGACCUCGGGCAUUCCCUGGGGACCCUACACACUGUCCAGGGACCCUGCACACUGCUGGGGACCCCAAGCACUGCUAGGGACACUGCACCUUGCAUGGAGACCCCAAAUGCUGCUGGGGACCUUGGACACUUCCUGGGAAUCCUGCACACACUCUGGGAACACUGCACAGUGCUUGGGGACCCUGCACACUCCCUGGGGACACUGCUGGGGAACUUGGACACUCCCUGGGGACCCUGCACACUGCCCAAGGGGCCUUGCAUGAUGCCAGGGACCCCCCACAGUCCCUGGGGACAAGGGACAAUGCUGGGAACCUUGGACACUCCCUCGGGACACUGCACAUUCCUGGAACCUGUCAGGCUGCGUGAGCCCUGCACACUCCUGGGGACCCUCUGA
rnacentral:lncRNA from 1 species